rnacentral:rRNA from 1 species
GACGGAGGGGGCAAGCGUUGUCCGGACUUACUGGGCGUAAAGCGCACGUAGGCGGUGCGGUGCGUCGGUGCUGAAAGCGCCGGGCUUAACCCGGCGAGGCGUGCCGAUACGACCGAACUCGAGGCAGGCAGAGGGUGGCGGAAUUCCGGGUGUAGUGGUGAAAUGCGUAGAGAUCCGGAGGAACGCCGGUGGGGAAGCCGGCCACCUGGGCCUGACCUGACGCUGAGGUGCGAGAGCGUGGGGAGCGAACCGGAUUAGAUACCCGGGUAGUCCACGCCGUAAACGAUGCCGGCUCGGUGUCUGACGCCUUUUGGGGUGUUGGGCGCCUUAGCUUACGCGGUAAGCCGGCCGCCUGGGGACUACGAGCGCAAGCUUAAA